rnacentral:rRNA from 1 species
GAUGAACGCUAGCGAUAGGCUUAACACAUGCAAGUCGAGGGGUAACGUGUUGGAAGCUUGCUUCCGAUGACGACGACCGGCGGAUGGGUGCGUAACGCGUAUGCAACUUGCCUCACAGAAGAGAAUAACCCGGAGAAAUCCGGACUAAUGCUCCAUACACUCUUAAGUACGCCUGUACAUGAGAGGAAAGAUUUAUCGCUGUGAGAUAGGCAUGCGUCCUAUUAGGUAGUUGGUGAGGUAACGGCUCACCAAGCCGACGAUAGGUAGGGGUGCUGAGAGGCAGAUCCCCCCCAUUGGGACUGAGACACGGCCCAAACUCCUACGGGAGGCAGCAGUGAGGAAUAUUGGUCAAUGGAGGAAACUCUGAACCAGCCAAGUCGCGUGAAGGAAGAAUGUCCUAAGGAUUGUAAACUUCUUUAGCGAGCGAGUAAGGACUUCCACGCGUUGGGAGUUUGAAAGUAGCUCGGGAAUAAGUAUCGGCUAACUCCGUGCCAGCAGCCGCGGUAAUACGGAGGAUACGAGCGUUAUCCGGAUUUAUUGGGUUUAAAGGGUGCGCAGGUGGUCUUGCAGUCAGUGGUGAAAAGCUGAGGCUCAACCUCAGCCUUGCCGUUGAAACUGUAAGACUUGAGAGUACAUGAUGUGGGCGGAAUGCGUAGUGUAGCGGUGAAAUGCAUAGAUAUUACGCAGAACUCCGAUUGCGAAGGCAGCUCACAAAGGUAUAUCUGACACUGAGGCACGAAAGCGUGGGGAGCGAACAGGAUUAGAUACCCUGGUAGUCCACGCCGUAAACGAUGAUUACUCGAAGUAUGCGAUAUGACAGUAUGCUUCCAAGCGAAAGUGAUAAGUAAUCCACCUGGGGAGUACGCCGGCAACGGUGAAACUCAAAGGAAUUGACGGGGGCCCGCACAAGCGGAGGAACAUGUGGUUUAAUUCGAUGAUACGCGAGGAACCUUACCCGGGAUUGAAAUGUAUGUGCGCCUCUUGGGAAACCGAGAGGGUUCUCUUCGGAGACACAUAUGUAGGUGCUGCAUGGUUGUCGUCAGCUCGUGCCGUGAGGUGUCGGCUUAAGUGCCAUAACGAGCGCAACCCUUAUCGUCAGUUACUAACAGGUGAUGCUGAGGACUCUGGCGAGACUGCCGUCGUAAGGCGAGAGGAAGGUGGGGAUGACGUCAAAUCAGCACGGCCCUUACAUCCGGGGCGACACACGUGUUACAAUGGUAGGGACAGAGAGUAGCCACUCGGUGACGAGGAGCGGAUCUUGAAACCCUAUCUCAGUUCGGAUCGGAGUCUGCAACUCGACUCCGUGAAGCCGGAUUCGCUAGUAAUCGCGCAUCAGCCAUGGCGCGGUGAAUACGUUCCCGGGCCU